UACGAAGGGGGCUAGCGUUACUCGGAUUGACUGGGCGUAAAGGGCGCGUAGGCGGUUUGUACAGUCAGACGUGAAAUUCCUGGGCUCAACCUGGGGGCUGCGUUUGAUACGUGCGGACUUGAGUUCGGAAGAGGGUCGUGGAAUUCCCAGUGUAGAGGUGAAAUUCGUAGAUAUUGGGAAGAACACCGGUGGCGAAGGCGGGUCUCUGGGCCGAUACUGACGCUGAGGAGCGAAAGCGUGGGGAGCGAACAGG
rnacentral:rRNA from 1 species